rnacentral:rRNA from 1 species
AACGAACGCUGGCGGCAUGCCUAACACAUGCAAGUCGAACGAGACCUUCGGGUCUAGUGGCGCACGGAUGCGUAACGCGUGGGGACCUGCCCUUAGGUUCGGAAUAACUCCCCGAAAGGGGUGCUAAUACCGGAUAAUGUCUUCGGACCAAAGAUUUAUCGCCUUUGGAUGGGCCCGCGUUGGAUUAGCUAGUUGGUAGGGUAAAAGCCUACCAAGGCGACGAUCCAUAGCUGGUCUGAGAGGAUGAUCAGCCACACUGGGACUGAGACACGGCCCAGACUCCUACGGGAGGCAGCAGUGGGGAAUAUUGGACAAUGGGCGAAAGCCUGAUCCAGCAAUGCCGCGUGAGUGAUGAAGGCCUUAGGGUUGUAAAGCUCUUUUACCCGGGAUGAUAAUGACAGUACCGGGAGAAUAAGCUCCGGCUAACUCCGUG